rnacentral:rRNA from 2 species
UGGGGAAUAUUGGGCAAUGGGGGAAACCCUGACCCAGCAACGCCGCGUGAGUGAAGAAGGCCUUCGGGUUGUAAAGCUCUGUCGCAGGGGAAGAAACAAAUGACGGUACCCUGUGAGGAAGCCCCGGCUAACUACGUGCCAGCAGCCGCGGUAAUACGUAGGGGGCGAGCGUUGUCCGGAAUUACUGGGCGUAAAGGGUGCGUAGGCGGCAUGUUAAGUUGGAUGUGAAAUCCCCGGGCUUAACCUGGGGGGUGCAUUCAAAACUGGCAAGCUAGAGUGCAGGAGAGGGAAGCGGAAUUCCUAGUGUAGCGGUGAAAUGCGUAGAUAUUAGGAGGAACACCAGUGGCGAAGGCGGCUUUCUGGACUGUAACUGACGCUGAUGCACGAAAGCGUGGGGAGCAAACAGG